rnacentral:rRNA from 1 species
AUUGAACGCUGGCGGCAGGCUUAACACAUGCAAGUCGAGCGGGGGAAGGUAGCUUGCUACCGGACCUAGCGGCGGACGGGUGAGUAAUGCUUAGGAAUCUGCCUAUUAGUGGGGGACAACAUCUCGAAAGGGGUGCUAAUACCGCAUACGUCCUACGGGAGAAAGCAGGGGAUCUUCGGACCUUGCGCUAAUAGAUGAGCCUAAGUCGGAUUAGCUAGUUGGUGGGGUAAAGGCCUACCAAGGCGACGAUCUGUAGCGGGUCUGAGAGGAUGAUCCGCCACACUGGGACUGAGACACGGCCCAGACUCCUACGGGAGGUAGCAGUGGGGAAUAGUGGACAAUGGGGGGAACCCUGAUCCAGCCAUGCCGCGUGUGUGAAGAAGGCCUUAUGGUUGUAAAGCACUUUAAGCGAGGAGGAGGCUACUUUAGUUAAUACCUAGAGAUAGUGGACGUUACUCGCAGAAUAAGCACCGGCUAACUCUGUGCCAGCCGCCGCAGUAA